AUUGAACGCUGGCGGCAGGCCUAACACAUGCAAGUCGAACGAGUGGCGGACGGGUGAGUAAUGUCUGGGAAACUGCCCGAUGGAGGGGGAUAACUACUGGCAACGGUAGCUAAUACCGCAUACCAUCGGAUGUGCACAGAUGGGAUUAGCUAGUAGGUGGGGUAACGGCUCACCUAGGCGACGAUCCCUAGCUGGUCUUAGAGGAUGACCAGCCACCCUGGAACUGAGUCACGGUCAAGACUCCGACGGGAGGCAGCAGUGGCGAAUAUUGCACAAUGGGCGCAAGCCUGAUGCAGCCAUUCCGCGUGGAGGAAGAAGGCCUUCGGGUUGUAAACCGCUUUCAGCCAUGACGCGGUAGUGGCAGAAGAAGCACCGGCUAACUACGUGCCAGCAGCCGCGGUAAUAC
rnacentral:rRNA from 1 species